AAACUUUACAAUGCUGGCAACAGCGAUAAGGGGACCUCGAGUGCCAGGAUACAAUCCUGGCUGUCGUUGUGUCUAAAAAACACAAUAUAGCAAGGGCCGGGCAAGACCGGUGCCAGCCGCCGCGGUAACACCGGCGGCUCGAGUGGUAACCGUUAUUAUUGGGUCUAAAGGGUCUGUAGCCGGCUGGAUAAGUCUCUUGGGAAAUCUGGCAGCUCAACUGUCAGGCUUUCAGGGGAUACUGUCCGGCUCGAGACCGGGAGAGGUGAGAGGUACCUCAGGGGUAGGGGUGAAAUCUUGUAAUCCUUGAGGGACCACCAGUGGCGAAGGCGUCUCACCAGAACGGAUCUGACGGCAAGGGACGAAAGCUAGGGGCACGAACCGG
rnacentral:rRNA from 1 species